AGACCCGAAACCCGGUGAUCUAGCCAUGGGCAGGUUGAAGGUUGGGUAACACUAACUGGAGGACCGAACCGACUAAUGUUGAAAAAUUAGCGGAUGACCUGUGGCUGGGGGUGAAAGGCCAAUCAAACCGGGAGAUAGCUGGUUCUCCCCGAAAGCUAUUUAGGUAGCGCCUCGUGAAUUCAUCUCCGGGGGUAGAGCACUGUUUCGGCUAGGGGGCCAUCCCGGCUUACCAACCCGAUGCAAACUGCGAAUACCGGAGAAUGUUAUCACGGGAGACACACGGCGGGUGCUAACGUCCGUCGUGAAGAGGGAAACAACCCAGACCGCCAGCUAAGGUCCCAAAGUCAUGGUUAAGUGGGAAACGAUGUGGGAAGGCCCAGACAGCCAGGAUGUUGGCUUAGAAGCAGCCAUCAUUUAAAGAAAGCGUAAUAGCUCACUGGUCGAGUCGGCCUGCGCGGAAGAUGUAACGGGGCUAAACCAUGCACCGAAGCUGCGGCAGCGACACUCAGGUGUUGUUGGGUAGGGGAGCGUUCUGUAAGUCUGCGAAGGUGGCCUGUGAGGGUUGCUGGAGGUAUCAGAAGUGCGAAUGCUGACAUAAGUAACGAUAAA
rnacentral:rRNA from 1 species